AAUGUCAUAUUUCUGUUGCAUUUCACUGCAUUGGGUUAGCUUUGGAGACCUAAUGUUCUAUCUACUUAUCUCGUACAGACUUCCCUUGGCAGCCCUACAUUUCAAUAGUAAUGGCAACAGAGAUGUAGCGCGAACUAGUGAGGGUGAGGUACGCUACGCUGUUCACUACCCACGGUUUCGGAAAGGUGGCUGGGUAGUCCACCCCAUCAAGGAGAAACCAUCUUACGGAUACGCAACAAAUCUUAUGGUCUCUCUGGUAGAGGAAUACUGCAAGUCACCACAGGCCCUACAAGAAAGCAGUGCCGUCUUGUCCUCUGCUGCACCGCCCCCCCUCACCUCUUCCGUCCAGAAGGUUGCCAAGGAUGAGGCAGUCAGCCUCCAUCUCGCACGACACUCACGUUUUAACAUGUAAUAAAAGAUCAAUUUUACCAGUA